UGAAGGAAGGAUAUAUACGCUUUUUGAAAAUUCAUGCUUGAACCACGGGAGCGCUGAGAGAGAGAGAGAGAGAGAGAAAGAGAGAGAAAUUAUUAAUGUAUGCAGAGUUUCUGCCUGCCACGCUCGUCAGUUGAGGAGAGUUGAAAUCUGGCCAGGACCUCCUAAGCAUAUCUGAUCUCUUGGCACUAUGCUGAUCCGUGAAACAUCUUGUUAGCUCAGUACAAAUGGAUAAAAGAUGCCUUAUACCUUGUGACUCUAAAAGUUAUAACCCCAUUCGACAUUCAAUUCUUGAUCCAUAUGAAUUUUAUACGGGUCAGAAAAUAUUUGCUGAAUAAUCCGUCGUCGUCGUCUUCGUCUUUGUCGUCGUUGUACUCCUCUUCGUUCACGAGAAAGAGAUGAAAUUGACACGCGGUGACUAAUUUGAAAAAUUAUCAUAUUGAUGAUGGAAUGCCUCAAGAUUGGAGAAUAAAAGAAAAUAUUUCGAUUCUUCCAAGACGACAGUUUGUUGAGAUUGAAAGCUUCAUCAAAAAGAUGCCUACUAAUCAAAUUUUUUCUGAUCCUAAUAGUUUUGGAUAAUCAGAUGAGAUGAUCAGAUCCACCACAUGUAAUCGUAAAGCAAUUCAAAGAUAUGAAAAAAUUAAAAGAAAGAGCAGAAGAAAAAGAAUUAAGAAAAGGAAUUGAGAGGAUUAAGAAGAAUAGUGCGCCAACAAAAAAAACUAAUCUCCAAUAAGAGUUUGUUUUCAAAAGCAAAUUU